UAUGAGACUGCCGUCCUCAACC
rnacentral:miRNA from 1 species